rnacentral:rRNA from 1 species
GCCAGACUCCUACGGGAGGCAGCAGUGGGGAAUAUUGGGCAAUGGGCGCAAGCCUGACCCAGCAAUGCCGCGUGAAGGAAGAAGGCCUUCGGGUUGUAAACUUCUUUUAUCAGGGACGAAGGAUGUGACGGUACCUGAUGAAUAAGCUCCGGCUAACUACGUGCCAGCAGCCGCGGUAAUACGUAGGUGGCGAGCGUUAUCCGGAAUGAUUGGGCGUAAAGGGUGCGCAGGCGGUCCUGCAAGUCUGGAGUGAAACGCAUGAGCUCAACUCAUGCAUGGCUUUGGAAACUGGAGGACUGGAGAGCAGGAGAGGGCGGUGGAACUCCAUGUGUAGCGGUAAAAUGCGUAGAUAUAUGGAAGAACACCAGUGGCGAAGGCGGCCGCCUGGCCUGUUGCUGACGCUGAGGCACGAAAGCGUGGGGAGCAAAUAGGAUUAGAUACCCUAGUAAG